CUACGGUCGAGGCGCUUCGGUCCGGGCGGCACGCCGUCCGGUGAAAAGGGAACGCGGUGAGGGCUCUGCCCGAUUCCGUGGCUGCCCCCGCAACUGUGAGCGGAGAGCGAAGCCGGAUCACGCCACUGCCCCCCGGGGCGGGAAGGCCCGGCAAGAGCUGUGACCCGCGAGCCAGGAGACCUGCCGAUGCGUCACCCCGUCC
rnacentral:ncRNA from 2 species